AUGUCUUCACAAAAAAGAAGUUUCUGCGCCCCACCUUGUAUAAAAAUAUCUGAAGGCAAGCCACUUCUUUCUUGCUAGGAUGCAAACUAAUUGUCUUCUUUGUCAUGUUACUUCAUAGGCUAAUGAAAUAUUUCAUUAUAUUAAUUAAAUAAAUGCUUUUAAGAGACUUAUGACCAGAAAGUAGUCAUGUAAUCUUUAGAUUCAUGAGUUUCAGGACCAGCUGCAUUGUCUAUGCAGACAUGAAGUGGUAGAUGCUAUUGUACAAGGUACUUGGCAAAAUUGUUUGUAAUCAAAUGCUGUUUGAUUAUUACAGAAUGGCUCCAUCUGGGAUGGCUUGGCACUCUGGAAGAGCAACUUGGAUAAGCUAUUUGAAGGUGUUGACGAGUGCUACAUUUGUUUCUCUGUUCUGCAUGGCUCAAACUUCCAGAUCCCUCGGCAGUGUUGCUCUACAUGUAAAAAGAAGUUUCACUCCACUUGCUUAUACAAGUGGUUCAAUACAAGCAACAAAGCAACCUGCCCCAUCUGCCGCAACCUGUUCUAACUUGGUGAAUAUUUAGAAUUGUGAUUAAUGUUAUUUAAAUUGAAUAUUAUGUAAUAACUCUGUUGGACUUUUAACUGAAUUGUAUGGAAUAAAAACCGUCUAUUAUAGGUUAGUAGUUGGAAGACAUUUGUACAAAGGAA